ensembl:lncRNA
AUAUAUAUAUAUAUAUAUAUAUAUAUAUAUAUAUAUAUAUAUAUAUAAUAUAAUUCCCUACAUUUAUAUAGCACUUUUCUAUACACUCAAAGCGCUUUUACAUUGUAUGGGGGGAAAUCUCCUCAACCACCAACUGUGUGUAGCAUCCACCUGGAUGAUGCGACGGCAGCUGUAGUGCACCAGAACACCUAGCAUGCACAAGCUAUUGGUGGAGAGGAGUGUGAUGUAGCCAAUUCAGGCAUGGAGAAAGGUAAGACCUUUUGCAAUUUAAAUUCGUAAUUAUCGAGGAUCAGGCCCUUUACUUUCUCCUUAAGAUCGCUGAAAUAGCUUUUCACCUCUUUUAGCUGGCUCCAGUUGUUGAACAUGUAGUCAACAUAUUCUUCUGAUGAAACGCUGGCCGGAUGAUCGUAAAACUUCUCACGUGGAGUUACCCUUUCAAGCUCCUUGUCCGCAACUUUCCACUGCUCUACGGGUUCUUCUGGCUGACCAUAAUUGCCAUCAUAUCGAUGGGUAAACCAAGGUUGGUAAAUUGAGAUGGUUGAUUUUUUGUAGGUCUUGUACUGCUUCAUCAGCUCCUCUAAGUCGAAUUGGUAGCCGUCAAGCACAGUGUUGAUGGAAGUCAGGUAGACAUGAAGUUGUGCCUUGCGUUCUGUGGUGCGUUGUAUCUUCAUUCUCGCUGCAUGGAUGAGCAUCUGCAGAUGGAAAGCUGCGCCAUUGGCCCAGUGCUUCAGGGCGCGGGAGCUCAUUUGGUUAUCGUGCAGCAUGGAGUUUCUCAGACGGGUCAGCUGUUCACUCAGCUGUUUCUCCAGGCGUUCGGUCUCCUCUAUUGCUCGGGUCGGUUGCUGUAGAUUCAUACGUAGACGUUUCAAGUACUCGUCCAUCGAGUCUCUCACACUUGAAGCCUUUUCCUCAGCGAACACACGGCGCAUCAUGUCCAGUGUGCUGUGUUUACUCUCCGUUUCCUCCUGUAGACCCCUAAUUAUGAGCUCCAGGGCUAUGGACAGGACCAAUCCGCCUAAACCCACCGCGUUUGGUACACGUUUAAAACCAGUUAAAAUAGAACCCAGACUUUCCACAUAGUCCGGAGUCUUGCUGCUCAUGUGUUCUAGUACAUGGGUGACGGAGCUCUCUAGCUCAGCUGCUGAGUUUAAUCCGGAGUACUUCACCAAAGAGCCAUCGAUACCAAUAUCAGGUAUUAAAUCAGCUGACUCAGCAGUUGUUAACAUCCGUCUGCAAAAAAUGAUUCUAUGUACUUUACAUUGAGUGUUUCCCAUCGCGUUUCCCAUCCCAUCAACAGCACCACGGUAAAAACUAUAAAUCUUUAUGUUCUGAAGGAACCCAGAAACGUAUUAAGCGCAGUCCAGGCACUGAGAGUCCGCUAUCCCUGCACUUUCACUUUCUCUUCCCUCUUUUGUAACUUUUUAACCCUUCAGACUCCGGUUAAAGGAGCCCCUCUUCCAGAAAGCACGUACAUACAUUUUUAGAGGCGCGGCUUUUACACACAUAGCGGUAACAGCACCGAAAGAGGAAAACGAGCGUCCGCGAGCUUCCACACAACAAAAGCAAAUGAACAAUGCUCAUAUUAAAUAAAUAAAAAAACAAACAACAAUCGAC